CAACUAUCCAAGGACACUACUAAGACUUGCGUCAGAAGCAGAGACUAUCUCUCAGCAUUCCACUUCAAUGAGAAUGCCAACCGGCCACAGUCAACAAGUGCUCUGGGAGAUCCUGCCUUUAAACUGUCCUUCCCUAAAGCGAAGAAAGGGGUAUACAGCCUCAAAUGAGGGAAAAUUGAGCCGACAUUCUGCUAUGUGUUGUCCCUGACCCAGCAACUGCAGAAGAUCACCAUUCCAGAGGAUCUUAGCGCUGAGCCAGUCAGAGCUCAGGUUGUUGCAACUGUUC